rnacentral:rRNA from 1 species
AGUGAACGCUGGCGGUAGGCCUAACACAUGCAAGUCGAACGGCAGCACAGUAAGAGCUUGCUCUUACGGGUGGCGAGUGGCGGACGGGUGAGGAAUACAUCGGAAUCUACUUUUUCGUGGGGGAUAACGUAGGGAAACUUACGCUAAUACCGCAUACGACCUACGGGUGAAAGCAGGGGAUCUUCGGACCUUGCGCGAUUGAAUGAGCCGAUGUCGGAUUAGCUAGUUGGCGGGGUAAAGGCCCACCAAGGCGACGAUCCGGAGCUGGUCUGAGAGGAUGAUCAGCCACACUGGGAGGGAGACACGGUCCAGAGUCAUAGGGGAGGGAGCAGGGGGGAAAAUGGGACAAGGGGCGGAAGACUGAGCCAGACAGACCGAGUGGGUGAAGAAGGACUUCGGGUUGUAAAGCACUUUUGUUGGGAAAGAAAAGCAGCAGGUUAAUAACCAGCUGUUCUGAAGGUACACAAAGAAUAAGCACCGGCUAACUUAGUG